rnacentral:lncRNA from 1 species
AAGGUUGCGACUUUUCUUUACAAGAACAUCAUCACGAGAUUUGGCUGCCCUUUGGAGCUGGUGAGCGAUAGAGGUACUCACUUUAUCAAUCAAGUGAUUGCGACCUUGGUGGAGAAGUAUGGCAUCGCUCAUCGUAAGUCCACUCCCUAUCACCCUCGUGCUAACGGACAGGUGGAGCGCACCAAUAAGAUACUGUGCAACAUUAUCACGAAGCUUGCCAGUGCUUCUCGCACAGAUUGGGAUCAACGCUUGUUGGAUGCUCUCUGGGCAUACCGCGUUGCUUACAAGGUCACCACCAAAGCUUCACCGUUCCAGCUUGUUUAUGGACAAGAAGCCAUCCUACCACUCGAGCUUGAGAUUCCAUCUCUCCGUAUGGCUGUCGAGCACAACUUGGGCUGGGACAACACUCUUCAAGCUCGACUGGACACACUUCUUCAACUCGACGAGCGUCGACUUCUCGCCUUCCAAGCUCGCGAAGCUCUUCAGAAGCGCCACAAAGUCUGGUACGAUCGUCAUUUGUGUGCUAAGAAUUUUUCUGCUGGUGAUCAGGUUCUGCUAUAUGAUAGCAAGCACUGGAAAAAUCCUGGGAAACUCCAUAUUCGCUGGCUUGGCCCAUAUCGCAUUGUUGACGUUUUUACCAAUGGCUCAAUCCAGCUUGAAGAUCUUAGUGGGAACUUGUUACCAACUCGUGUUAAUGGAGCUCGCCUGCGCAAGUACCAUGAGCGAGAUGAAGCUGCCGUGGAGCUGUGUGCUCCGGGACAGAGCCCAAUAGGUGGGGUGUGAUGUAGAACUGGGGGAAUAUUCCAUUUGCCGCCAUGUCAGUUUUGGGAAGUCCACUAAGGGGGAAAAAAAACAGUCGAUCAAUUGUAUGUAAGGGAAGGGAAGAAGAGAAUAAAGGAUGCCUUGAUGAAGAGGUCCUUGGCGAAGCGCCCUCGAUCGUGUGAACGAGCGCCUUUGGAUAUGAAGGGAAGC